rnacentral:rRNA from 1 species
GCCAUGCCGCGUGUGUGAAGAAGGCCUUUUGGUUGUAAAGCACUUUAAGCGAGGAGGAGGCUACUGGUAUUAAUACUACCGGAUAGUGGACGUUACUCGCAGAAUAAGCACCGGCUAACUCUGUGCCAGCAGCCGCGGUAAUACAGAGGGUGCGAGCGUUAAUCGGAUUUACUGGGCGUAAAGCGUGCGUAGGCGGCUUUUUAAGUCGGAUGUGAAAUCCCUGAGCUUAACUUAGGAAUUGCAUUCGAUACUGGGAAGCUAGAGUAUGGGAGAGGAUGGUAGAAUUCCAGGUGUAGCGGUGAAAUGCGUAGAGAUCUGGAGGAAUACCGAUGGCGAAGGCAGCCAUCUGGCCUAAUACUGACGCUGAGGUACGAAAGCAUGGGGAGCAAACAGGAUUAGAUACCCUGGUAGUCCAUGCCGUAAACGAUGUCUACUAGCCGUUGGGGCCUUUGAGGCUUUAGUGGCGCAGCUAACGCGAUAAGUAGACCGCCUGGGG